rnacentral:rRNA from 1 species
UAAGCGGAGGAAAAGAAACUNACNAGGNUUCCCCUAGUANCUGCGAGNGAAGNGGGAAAAGCUCAAAUUNAAAAUCUGGCGNUCUUAGGCNGUNCGAGUUGUANNUUAGAGAAGCGUCUUNCGCGCCGGNCCGUGCACAAGUCUCCUGGAAUGGAGCGUCAUAGAGGGUGAGAAUCCCGUCUUUGGCACGGAUGCCUGGUGCUUCUGUGAUGCGCUCUCGAAGAGUCGAGUUGUUUGGGAAUGCAGCUCAAAAUGGGUGGUGAACUCCAUCUAAAGCUAAAUAUUGGCGAGAGACCGAUAGCGAACAAGUNCCGUGAGGGAAAGAUGAAAAGCACUUUGGAAAGAGAGUGAAACAGUACGUGAAAUUGUUGAAAGGGAAACGCUUGAAGUCAGUCGCGUCGACCGAGACUCAGCCUUGCCUCGGCUUGGUGUACUUCUCGGUCCGACGGGUCAGCGUCAAUUUUGCUCCUCGGAUAAUGGCAAGGGAAAGGUGGCACCUUUACGGGUGUGUUAUAGUCUCCUGUCGCAUGCGAGGGGUGGGAUUGAGGAACUCAGCGCGCACCUUGGUGUCGGGGCUUCUGCCCACGUCACGCGCUUAGGAUGCUG